rnacentral:rRNA from 1 species
UACGGGGGGAGCAAGCGUUGUUCGGAUUUACUGGGCGUAAAGGGCGCGUAGGCGGCGCAACAAGUCACUUGUGAAAUCUCCGGGCUUAACCCGGAGCGGCCAAGUGAGACUGUCGUGCUAGAGUGCGGAAGGGGCUACUGGAAUUCUCGGUGUAGCGGUGAAAUGCGUAGAUAUCGAGAGGAACACCAGCGGCGAAGGCGGGUAGCUGGGCCGACACUGACGCUGAUGCGCGAAAGCCAGGGGAGCGAACGGG